rnacentral:lncRNA from 1 species
CGCCCCGCCCGGCCUGAGGACCCCGAGCUCAGUCCCAGCUCCGCCACCUGCGAGCUGCGUGGCCGCGAAGAGCUCGGCGUCCUCGCCGCCGUCCUCGCCGCCGUCCUCGCCGCCGUCCUCGCCGCCGUCCUCGCCGCCGUCCUCGCCGCCUUCGUCGCCGCCGUCCUCAGCCUCCGGAGCCCCCACCCGUGACCUGGGCCGCGCCUCCCGUCCUGGCCCCUUGUGGGGGGGCCGGCUGUCCCCGCCCGGCGCCCCUCACCGGCCGUGCGGGGCUGCAGGAGGACGACUCUCGGCCGCACCCAAGCCGGGGCCAGCCAGCCCCGAGCCCCCGAGCCCCCGCGGCCAAACCGGGAGAGGAAGGCGGGGGAGCGACCUGCAACUCGCCCCCCACACCCGUCAGGUGCAGGCGAGGCGCUCCCCGCUGCUCCCGGGCUCCGCCAGGGCCCACGGAGGGGCACGAGCUCCUUCAGACCCAGGCUGCAUGCAGGGCGGAGACGCCUGACCUGGAGGGCUCCAGGCCCACAGUCCCAGAUGCUCACUCAUUGUACAGUGUGGGCGGAGCAUCCACUCAGAUCCUACCGGCUGCUGCUGCUCAGUCAGGCAGGACAAAGACCCAACUGCGCCCCACCUGAGCCACUCACAGCCCAGUAGGGAGGCAGACAACGCAGGGAGACACCAUCAGAGUGGAACCCGCUGGUGGAGUUGUGUCCCCACCAAGAAGGAAACACCAAAGAAGUGGAGCUGCUGAAGACUUGCAUUUCCCUUUUUUUCUGGUUUUAAUUGUGGAGCAUGUUGUCAUGGUUGAGAUCAAGCUGUGUGCGUAAUUUAAAACCUAUUUUUAUUGACAUUAUGUCAUAAACAUUUCCUCCCUGUUAUUAUUAACCUUUGUAAAUACUUUCAGUGGCUGCUGUGUAUUUUCAGGAGAGCAAUGCCAUAAUUUAAUUAGGCUUGGACAUUUAGGUGGUUUUCAGGUUGUUGUUGGUUUUUUCCCCUGUAAUAGAUAAUGCUGUUAUAAACAUCUCUGUGUAAAAAUUAUUUCCCAUGUUUCUUGUUAUUUCCUUGGGGUGGACUUCUUAUCAUGGAAUUUCUGACCGUGUAUCAGCAUGUUAAAAAUCCCUCAACAAUCCCUUGAUAUUUACUGCCAAGUGACUUUCUGAAACGGUUUUCCUGAUGUACCCCAUAGGAGUUUUGGCGUUGUCAGUGUUUAGGUCUGUCUGGAGGUACGGGGUCAGAGUAGAAAGAUAGGCUGGGGGUGGGCUCUGACCCAAACAGACUUGGGGGUCUCAGGACCCUGGGCACAUCGGUUCUUCC